AUGGCCCUGGUGGCGGCGCACGCCGACAUCCUCGCGUGCGUCCUCGGCCGUCUUGCGCCGCGCAGCCUCGCCACGUGCCGCAGUGUCUGCAAAGGCUGGCGCGCCAUUGUCGACGAUUACCGCCUGCUGCGGACGGACCUCCUCCCGCUCUCGCUCCACGGGAUCUUUUUCAUGGAGGACCUCUGCCCGGACCCUCCAAAGCUCUUCGCAAACCCAUUCACAAAGCGCAGGAUCAGCGACGCAAGCCUUGGUUAUGUCGAGAAUGACGAGGGUUCAUUUAUCAAGAAUCACUGCAACGGGCUUCUCUUGCUCUCCAACCACCUGGUGGUUAACCCGGCGACUCGGCAAUGGGUGCAUUUGCCUCCGCCCCCGCCCCGGUGCACCGGAAUGGAGGACUUCAACGACGACGUGUGCCUUGUUUAUGACCCUACAGUGUCGCCGCACUACGAGGUGCUUCUUAUUCCUUGCGUCUCCUACGGUCUUGAUUCCACAACAAUGUUCACGGAGGAAUCGGAGUGGCCGCCCUCCGCCUACGCAAUACAAGUCUUCUCUUCAAGGACAUGGAGAUGGGAGGAGAGGUCGUUGGUCCGGAGAGGAGAGGCUGCGGGGACCAUCGCCGACAUGGAGCCAUAUAGGGAUUUUGUACACCGUUACGCCGUCUACUGGAAAGGAGCGAUCUAUGUGCAUUGUCAAAAUGACUCCAUUUUACGCAUAAUCUUAUCGGACGGUUCAUAUGAAGUGAUUAAAUCACCAACAGGAAGUAAAAUGGAAGAUUCUACCAAUCUUCAUCUAGGGAAAUCAAAGAAGGGGGUGUACUGCACUUUGAUUUAUAAUGAUAUCUGGGGGGGACUUCAGAUUUGGUUGCUUACUGAAUCAUGUGGUAAAUGGGAGUGGGUGCUAAAGAAUGACAUCAACUUCGCGGCAGCGGUGGCAAAAUUUUCUUGGUUUUCUUGUGAUGAAAACCAAGGACCGUGGAUCUUACAGAAAGGUGAUUGUGAUGAAAAUGUUAAGGAAGCACCAGUGCAAGAUAACUAUGAAUGGGACUUCGACAAUGGUCUAGCAUUGCUCCUCUGCAUCAAUUUCAUACGUACUCUAAAUAUGGAGUCUCCGAGCAAGAGCGCCGGCGAUCAUAUUCAUCGCCCGUCGUCUCUGACUCUGAUUCAAAAGGAAGCAGCAGCCGUACGCACCGAUCAAUCCAUGGCCCUGCCUCUGCCCCUGCCCGACGACAUCCUCGCUUGCGUCCUCGGCCGUCUCGCGCCACCCCAGCCUCGCCGCGUCCCGCUGCAUCUGCAAAGGCUGGUGCGAGCCGACGGCCGCCGUCGGUUGCGGACGGACCUCCUCUCGCUCUCGCUCUACGAGAUCUUUUUCAUGGAGAUGGACGUCCUCUGCGGGGACCCCCCAAAGCUCUUCGCAAACCCGCUGACGAGCCGCAGGAUCGACGCAAACCUUGACUACGUGGAGGAGGAUGUACGCAUCAAGAAUCACUGCAACGGGUUUCUCCUGCUCUCGGGCCACCUGGUGCUCAACCCCGCCACACGACAAUGGGUGCGCUUGCCUCCGCCUCUGCUGUGGUGCACCGUGACCGGGAUGGAGGGCUUCUACAACGUCGUCUGCCUUGCCUUUGACCCCACUAUGUCCCCGGACUUUGAGAUAAGGUUGAAUCUGACGAUAUGA
rnacentral:rRNA from 1 species